UAAAGGCUGUUAUGAUGCCAAAGCUGCAGUGUACAUAGCUCAGUUAAUAGUUAAAAAUGGAGUAUGGGGGAACUGCAGAAAAGAUGUUAAGAAAAGAAAUGAUCCUACAGAACUUCAAGUUAUGCAGUGUAAACAGGAUGGGAAAAUAUCCAACAAGCAAGUAGCCUGGUUAAUCUUCAAACUCACUUAUCCACACUUCAGGUUGAAGAAGAUGAAAUCAUUCAUUAAACUGAGACAAGUGACUGUCUUAAACACUAUCCCAAAGUGGCUCUCAAUGUCAGACCAGAUAUGAGCAAUUUUAUCAACAAUUUUCUGCAAACACAUCACAGGGGAUAG